GCAGUCCUUGUCUUGGGGGAGCAUAAUAUCCAGUGAUCGUAUAGUGAGGGUAUUGAUGCUGAAACCCAUUAUUUAAAUGAUAAACCCGCAUCCGAGAUCUCUCGAGAUGCAAUUUUUGCAGAG